AAACGACUCUCGGCAACGGAUAUCUCGGCUCACGCAUCGAUGAAGAACGUAGCAAAAUGCGAUACUUGGUGUGAAUUGCAGAAUCCCGUGAACCAUCGAGUUUUUGAACGCAAGUUGCGCCCGAAGCCAUUUGGUUGAGGGCACGUCUGCCUGGGCGUCACAC
rnacentral:rRNA from 1 species